rnacentral:rRNA from 1 species
CUACGGGAUGCAGCAGUGAGGAAUAUUGCACAAUGGGGGGAACCCUGAUGCAGCAACGCCGCGUGGAGGAUGACGCAUUUCGGUGUGUAAACUCCUUUUAUAUGUCAAGAAAAUGACGGUAGCAUAUGAAUAAGCACCGGCUAACUCCGUGCCAGCAGCCGCGGUAAUACGGAGGGUGCAAGCGUUACUCGGAAUCACUGGGCGUAAAGGACGCGUAGGCGGGUUGGAAAGUCAGGUGUGAAAUCCUACAGCUUAACUGUAGAACUGCACUUGAAACUUCUAAUCUGGUGUAUGGGAGGGGGAGAUGGAAUUAGUAGUGUAGGGGUAAAAUCCGUAGAUAUCACUAGGAAUACCUAAAGCGAAGGCGAUCUCCUGGAACAUUACUGACGCUAAGGCGUGAAAGCGUGGGGAGCAAACAGGAUUAGAUACCCGGGUAGUC